rnacentral:rRNA from 1 species
GGUUGCGAUCAUAUACCAGCACUAGUGCACCGGAUCCCAUCAGAACUCCGCAGUUAAGCGUGCUUGGGCGAGAGUAGUACUAGGAUGGGUGACCCCCUGGGAAGUCCUCGUGUUGCAACCC